GACGAACGCUGGCGGCGUGCUUAACACAUGCAAGUCGAACGGAAAGGCCCUGCUUUUGUGGGGUGCUCGAGUGGCGAACGGGUGAGUAACCCGUGAGUAACCUGCCCUUGACUUUGGGAUAACUUCAGGAAGCUGGGGCUAAUACCGGAUAGGCGCUCCCGCUGCAUGGUGGGGGUUGGAAAGAUUCGGCGGUUUUGGAUGGACUCGAGGCUUAUGAUCCUGUUGGUGGGGUAGUGGCUUACCAAGGACUAUGAGGGUAGCGGGCCCGAGAGGGGGACCGGGCCAAGUGGGAGCGGCGUACGGCCCGCAGCCCUGCGGGAGGGUGGUGAGGGGGAGAUUGCCUGAAGGGGCGAAGUCGCAUGCAGGAACACCGCCUGCGGGAUUGUGGCCUUCGGGUUGUAAACCGCUUUCGCCGUUACGGGUAGCUGAAUGACGGUAAUGUGAAAAGAAGCACCGGCUAACUCCGUG
rnacentral:rRNA from 1 species